rnacentral:sRNA from 1 species
GCUGGGCAUGGUGGCACAUGCCUGUAAUCCCAGCUACUCGGGAGGCUGAGGCAGGAGAAUCACUUGAACCCAGGAGGUGGACAUUGCAGUGAGCCAAGAUUGCGCCACUGCACUUCAGCCUGGGUGACAAAGUAAGAUUCUGUCUCAA